rnacentral:rRNA from 1 species
UACGAAGGGGGCUAGCGUUGCUCGGAUUGACUGGGCGUAAAGGGCGCGUAGGCGGUUCGUUCAGUCAGACGUGAAAUUCCUGGGCUCAACCUGGGGGCUGCGUUUGAUACGUGCGGACUUGAGUGCGGAAGAGGGUCGUGGAAUUCCCAGUGUAGAGGUGAAAUUCGUAGAUAUUGGGAGGAACACCGGUGGCGAAGGCGGCACACUGGCUCAUUACUGACGCUCAGGCGCGAUAGCGUGGGGAUCAAACAGG